UUUCUAGAAGCCAGGCCCACAGCCACUCCCUGGAGCCUCUGUCAGCGUCCUCCCUGCCACUGUGUGGGGACUGCACUGUGUGGGGAGUGCCAGCCAGAAACACAUUCCCUGUGUCUCUCUUCAGUAUACUUCCUCAGGAGAGACAAAGAGCGAGGUCCCGCUGGCCUUCUACUCAUUGAUGGGCUAGAUCCAGAAGUCCUGCUGUGGCCUGUCUAGCUUUAGGAAGAGAAGACUUACAAACAAAACAAAAACUCAGGAGGCUGAUUGUCACCUGCCCCAGAUGUCCUGGAAAGUCAGAUAGCUCCCUGGACACCUCAAGGAAGAUGGUUCUUCAUCUAGAAGGCCUUCCAUCAAUAGCCAGGUAGCCUGAGCUACAUGACAAGAUCCCGACUCAAGACAAACAGACCUCAUAUCUAGUCAUCAUAAUUAUUGUUUAUUUAGACUUGCUCCCUCCUCCCUCUGAUUUCCCAGGAGCCUGUGGGUAUCCUCAGUCUCUGAGAAAAUAACAGCCAGCAUCUGGUACAGGGGCUCUCGGUGCUUCUCCAGUGAGGCAGGAACAGAUAAAUGAGAAAAGGAAGGAAUCAGGUUGAAGGCUUCCGCUGCCAUCUUGGAUGAAGAGGGAUCCAGAAUCCAGCCUGGAGGUCAUGUGAUGCUCUCGACAUUUCCAAAGUGCCUCUUGUUGCUUCUCACCACAACCAAGAGAUGCACAAGGAAAGGAAGCCCAUACCCUGUAGUUUGCAAGCCCCCAGUGUGCCGGGAGGGACCUGCUCAAGGUCAGAGAGGAGCAGAGAGGCUGGAAAGCCCUGACUCCCUGGGCUAAGCCUGGGUUCAUUCUACUUCCUCCACCAGCUUCGAGUGCCCCUGGAAACACCUGGCACGACAAUCGGGAAAUAAAAGAACUCCAUGGC
ensembl:antisense 1700021N21Rik RIKEN cDNA 1700021N21 gene